rnacentral:rRNA from 1 species
GUGGGGAAUUUUGGACAAUGGGCGAAAGCCUGAUCCAGCCAUACCGCGUGCAGGAUGAAGGCCUUCGGGUUGUAAACUGCUUUUGUACGGAACGAAAAGACUCCUUCUAAUAAAGGGGGCCCAUGACGGUACCGUAAGAAUAAGCACCGGCUAACUACGUGCCAGCAGCCGCGGUAAUACGUAGGGUGCAAGCGUUAAUCGGAAUUACUGGGCGUAAAGCGUGCGCAGGCGGUUAUAUAAGACAGAUGUGAAAUCCCCGGGCUCAACCUGGGAACUGCAUUUGUGACUGUAUAGCUAGAGUACGGUAGAGGGGGAUGGAAUUCCGCGUGUAGCAGUGAAAUGCGUAGAUAUGCGGAGGAACACCGAUGGCGAAGGCAGUCCCCUGGGCCUGUACUGACGCUCAUGCACGAAAGCGUGGGGAGCAAACAGGAUUAGAAACCCUGGUAGUCC